CAGUAGCCACGGUAAUACGUAGGUGGCAAGCGUUGUCCGGAAUUAUUGGGCGUAAAGCGCGCGCAGGUGGUUUAAUAAGUCUGAUGUGAAAGCCCACGGCUCAACCGUGGAGGGUCAUUUGAAACUGUUAAACUUGAGUGCAGGAGAGAAAAGUGGAAUUCCUAGUGUAGCGGUGAAAUGCGUAGAGAUUAGGAGGAACACCAGUGGCGAAGGCGGCUUUUUGGCCUGUAACUGACACUGAGGCGCGAAAGCGUGGGGAGCGAACGGGAUUAGAUACCCCAGUAGUCCCUGUCUCUUAUAC
rnacentral:rRNA from 1 species